ACAAAAAUCUGAUAAUCCUCAUCUUUCUCUCUGUACUCUCACGCCCUCUUUCUCUCUUCUCACCACAACCAUCAACUUCACUCCAUCUUGAAUCAAUCACCACAUGCAAACUAUUUUCUAUCAUCCUUGGGUUAUUAAUAGGUAAGAUUUGUGGCUAGAUGUUGUCACUCCUCACCCAAUCUUUCUCCCUCAUGCUCAAAAUCCUUUUACCUAAAUUCUCAACGAACAGCCGCUGCAUGUUAGAGAUCUUACUUGGGUUGAGUUUAUUGUUCAGAAGCUUGAGCACUCUCUGAAGUUGAUUGUUGGUGGUUGUGCUGCAGCAACAGUUGGAUUGUUAAGCUAAAAACAGAUUUUGGAAUAAUUGAAAGAAGUAUGUGAAACCCGUAUUCUGGACAGGGUCUCACUAAAGUGGUCAGUACUCUCUCCUCUUAACUCCGUUUUAAAUUCCGUUUGUUUCUAUGGUUAGCUAACGAAAUUUCGGUCGUUUGGAUGCCAAUUUUGUGAACUGGGAAGCUGUAACGAAUUCAGGAGACGCACCUGAAGUCCAGGGUCAGAUGCAGAAUUUUGGAUUGAAGUUAGCAUCAUAGUCAUCUUACGAGUUAUUAGAAAUACAAAUGGAGCCUUAAAGGUUGAUUUUGGAGUACAAGGCAGUAGUUCUCUUUCUUGGACUUCAGAUAAACAGGUUGCAGUGUAGAGAGCUAUGGACUAGAAGAAGUGAAGUGACAUUGGAUGUUAUUGUCAUUGUUUAUAUGGAUAUUCUAUUAAGUUGUUGUAUAAUUUAGUGUCAUAGUAUAUAUGUAUUGACUGGUUAUUUAUGGCUCUGAUGUAAGUUUUUAAGUUACAUUAUGACAGGAAUGUUAUCAUUCAGUUUAGUCAAUACUUGUAUAAUGACAAGGCUUUUAUGUUUUAUCGGUA